rnacentral:rRNA from 1 species
UCAAAAACAUAACUUUUAGUUCAUCUAUUAAAAGCUUCCCCUGCUCAAUGAAUUAAUUUAUUUUAAAUUGCCGCAGUACUUUGACUGUGCUAAGGUAGCAUAAUCAUUUGUCUCUUAAUUAGAGUCUAGAAUGAAUGGGGUCAUGGGAAAUUUCUGUCUCAUCAAUAUUUUUUUUAAUUUUCUUAUUAGGUGAAAAUUCCUUGAGAUUAUAUGAUAGACGAGAAGACCCUAAGAUUUUUUAUUAUUUAUUUUUUUGAGUAUUCAUUUUUGUUGGGGCGACAAAGUAUCAUUUUAAUCAUACUUUAUUUUAUUUUUAAUAUAACUUUUUAUUAAUAAAAAUUAAAAAUACCUUAGGGAUAACAGCACAAUAAAAUUAUUUGAUUAUGACCUCGAUGUUGGAUUAAGGACAAUAAGUAUUAGCCAUAAUUAUUGAUAGUUCUGUUCGAACUUCUUUUACCUUACAUGAUCU